ACGCCUACACUACCUGCCGGAUUGGCGGGUAACGAUUGAUCUAUCGGGGAUCGAUUUAUCGCGUGUAAUGUAGACGCGAUAAAUCGAUCCCCGAUCCCUCUCCUGUCGACUGCCUGCUCGGUGAGAGGUGGAAGCAAAGUCAACGGGGGAGCGGCAGCUAUCGAUCCCGCGCCACGAGGACACGAAGUCUUUUCCAUAGAGGUUGUGUUUCCCUGCUACAUAGCUGAGAAUGGCUCUGGUCUGCACCAUCUUUAUCCCAUCAAUGUCCACCAUGGGCACUUGUUGAAACAGCAGGGCUCCAUCUUUGGAAAGGAAAAAUAACGUCAAGACACUGAGUCCCCAUAACUGUCAUGUCAUUGCACUGGAACCCUAGUAGCUGACUGGGGCCUGGUGCUGUUCUCCACAUAAGUCAAUGGGAUGUGUGACAGAGCUUUCAAUGUGAGCAGGAUUGGGUGCUAAUAUUUCUACAUUUGAGAGACACUGAAAUUCUACUGUGCUAAGCAGGUGUAUAUAAUAAAAUGUUGUCACUUAUUGCACAGAA